GAGGGGUCCGGGCCAAUGGGGAGUUUCGACAAUCCAACAGAAACUUCCUAUCAUAAAUGAUUCGGGUACCUGAGACACAGACAGACAACCCGGUGGUCAACAAACAAAUGUUCUCGACAGUUCUUGUAAUGCAAAGCAGCGCGGAUAGGACGGCCUCCAACUCCUCCACCAAGGCGGAGACAAACCACGCCACCCUUUUUGGCAUACACCCUCUUUAAAUCACACGUCACUUGUUAAAUCGUGUCUUGUGUCCACAGCCACAACAAAAGACAAUGUCCACCACAAAUGUUACUUUAUCAUGUUUAUGGCAAUAAACAUGCAUCUUUUGUGUAAGCCAAAGUUAAUAUAGUUUAGCUUUCAGCAAUUGAAGUAUGUACAAAUGUAUUUGUCACUAGUCAAAUUGAUCGCUAUCUAAAAAUGGGUUUUUGUAAAAAUCGAGAAUAUACUACUUGUGUAUUGUGUUCUUUUAUGUAAAAGCACACAGUGCUUCCGUUGUUGUGUCCACGGCGCUCAAAAUCGCAGCAAACUUGCUGUGCUGACAACACGAGGGCUGCAGCCAACUGUCACUGUGCACAAUGUGAACAACAAGACACUUCUACAACUUGACUGCACGGCACCCUUCAGAUCGUUAACGCUUGUGUAGUUAUUUGAUAGUUUGGGCCGGUAGUGUUUAAACCCACACCCUUCAUCGCCUUCCUCAAGCGUGUUUGUGUUGCAUUGUUUGCAGCUUCUCGCGAGACUGAGCACAUAGUUUGCUUUUAUGCGUUUUGACAGAUACAAAAACCGCGGAGUUAAAGCUGCUUCGACGAUUCUCCGUGGCGUUGACGCAUUUCAAGAAUUAAAAAAAAAAAAGUUGCUUUAAAUAGGAGACGUCGCGCGGUUCUUACCUCCGGGCGUGGUGGAGAAGAGGGUCCCCCCGGGUGUCUGGCUGUAACAGUCGGGCAGCUGGGACCAGUCUUUCAGGGUGAGCACCCUGGUGGGGAUGGGGCAGCUUUUAGCUUCAUUAGUGCCAGUCGACAUGCUCAGCUUCUGCAGGCGGGAGUGGAACUAAGUGGGUUUUUUUUUUGUUUAAA